UUACUAUCAGCUCUUGCCUUCUCCUGGGGAAUGGAGGUGGAGAUCAAGUGGCCAGAAACACUGGUCCUAGUGCAAGUUCCUGUCCUCUCCAAGGAGAGAGAAGCUGACUUGACUUGCCCUCUUCCUCCAGGAUCUUUUCUGGUUCUGAAGGUACUGUUGCCAGGCUAUACUUAGAGAAGUGCAUUGUUUCAUCCUUAGGAUCAGCUUGCUGUGGAAUGGCAGAGAACAGUCUCGCUGGCCUGAUGGAGAAGCACAGCUGCAGCCGGGUGUUGUGAGGAGGUUGUCCUCUUUGCAGACUGUGUGCAUAGGCCAUUCCGUGCUGACAUCGAUGCAAAGCAGGACUAAGCUCUCUCUGAACAAAAACUUUAUGCUUCAUAUUUCUCAGCAUGAGGUUCCUGACAAUGAAAAUUUCUCAGCAAGUAGAUGAGAGUUUUCAGAGGAGAUGCCUUCACUCUCAAUAAAACUCAACUUCUCCUGCA